rnacentral:rRNA from 1 species
AACGAACGUUAGCGGCGCGCCUAACACAUGCAAGUCGCACGAGAAAGGGCUUCGGCCCCGGUACAGUGGCGCACGGGUGAGUAACACGUGGGUAAUCUGCCCUCGAGCGGGGGAUAACAUUCCGAAAGGAGUGCUAAUACCGCAUAAGACCACGCCCUCGAAAGAGGAAGCGGUCAAAGCUGGCCUCUAUACAUAAGCUAGCACUCGAGAAUGAGCCCGCGGAGCAUCAGCUAGUUGGUGAGGUAAUGGCUCACCAAGGCUUAGACGCUUAGCUGGUCUGAGAGGAUGAUCAGCCACACUGGAACUGAGACACGGUCCAGACUCCUACGGGAGGCAGCAGUGGGGAAUCUUGCGCAAUGGGCGAAAGCCUGACGCAGCGACGCCGCGUGAGUGAUGAAGGCCUUCGGGUUGUAAAGCUCUGUGGGGAGAGAAGAAUAAGUGCGGGCUAAUACUCCGCAUGAUGACGGUAUCUCCUUAGCAAGCACCGGCUAACUCUGUGCCAGCCGCC